GAGUGGCGAACGGGCGAGGAAUGCGUUUCUAACGUGCCCCAAGGUCGAUGAUAGCUCGGGGAAACCCGGGGUAAUACUCGAUGACCCCCAUGGAUCGCAUGGUUCGUGGGGCAAAGGCUUGCUGCCUUGGGAUCGGGAAACGCCCUAUCAGGUUGUUGGUGAGGUAACGGCUCACCAAGCCUAAGACGGGUAGCGGGUGUGAGAGCAUGACCCGCCGCAUCGGGACUGAGACACUGCCCGGACUCCUACGGGAGGCUGCAGCAACGGAUAUUGGGCAAUGAGCGAAAGCUUGACCCAGCAAUGCCGCGUGCAGGAGGAAGCCCCUCGGGGUGUAAACUGCUGUCAGGGUUUAGGAAGUUCUGACCAAACCCAAAGGAAGUGGCCGGCUAACUUCGUGCCAGCAGCCGCGGUAAUACGAAGGGCCCAAGCGUUAAUCGGAAUCACUGGGCUUAAAGGGUGCGCAGGCGGAAUGGUCAGUGUCUUGUGAAAUCCCACGGCUCAACCGUGGAACUGCAGGGCAUACUGCCAUUCUUGAGGCCGGUAGAGGCCGCCGGAACUCUAGGUGUAGCGGUGAAAUGCGUAGAUAUCUAGAGGAACGCCAAAGACGAAGGUAGGCGGCUGGGCCGGUUCUGACGCUCAGGCACGAAAGCGUGGGGAGCAAACAGGAUUAGAUACCCUGGUAGUCCACGCCGUAAACGUUGUGCACUAGGUGCUGGAGGUUCUGACACCAUCAGCGCCGAAGCGAAAGUGAUUAGUGCACCGCCUGGGGAGUACGGUCGCAAGGCUAAAACUCAAAGGAAUUGACGGGGGCUCACACAAGCGGUGGAGCAUGUGGCUUAAUUCGAGGCAACGCGAAGAACCUUAUCCUGGGCUUGACAUGCAUGGAUUAACGCUGGGAAACCAGCGCCACACUCUUUGAGUGGAACAUGCACAGGUGCUGCAUGGCUGUCGUCAGCUCGUGCUGUGAAGUGUUGGGUUAAGUCCCUUAACGAGCGAAACCCCUGUCGCUAGUUACCAUCAGGUAAUGCUGGGGACUCUAGCGAGACUGCCGGUGUCAAACCGGAGGAAGGCGGGGAUGACGUCAAGUCCUCAUGGCCUUUAUGCCCAGGGCUGCACACGUGCUACAAUGGCGCCGACAGAGCGAAGCAAAACCGCGAGGUAGAGCAAAUCGCAAAAAAGGUGCCCCAGUUCGGAUUGCAGUCUGCAACUCGACUGCAUGAAGCCGGAAUCGCUAGUAAUCGCGUAUCAGCAACGACGCGGUGAUACGUUCCUGAGCAUUGUACACACCGCCCGUCAAGUCAUGGAAGCCGGGAGUACCCGAAGUCGCACCGAUUCAGGUGUGCCGAUGGUAAGCUCGGUGACUGGGACUAAGU
rnacentral:rRNA from 1 species